CCCAAAAUGACUUUGGCAAGAGCCUAGGGUGUCUUCUGAGGAAAGAGUCCUGACCUUCAAAGAAAGGGCAGCAGGUGUAGGUAGAUUGGGGACAAAGUCAAAGUCAGCCUCAGUUACAUUGAGAGUUUGAGGCCAACCAGGCAACAUGAGAGAGGUAAAGAAGUACGGAGGGAGGGAUACUUGCUCUUCCAAGUUCGGCUGACGGCCAGACUGACUCUGGUUUUCCCUUACCUGUGAAUUGAAGAACUAAGUCGAUUAGAGAAGGUAUACACUACUAGUUAGUGGCUGGGUCUUGCCAGCUGUGUCCUGGGGUAGGGGCAGGUGGCCCUGGAUGACUUGACUGCUCCCUCCUCUCCUGUCUCUUUAGGGUGGAUGAAAGCAAAAGGACCCCUCUACUUAUCAAUCAGGUGCCAGCCAAGAGCCGGAGGACCCACCUAAGUACAGAGGUCAAGAACACCUACAACACUCACAAGGCCUGCAGGAAGGGUCAUGUGCCCCUGAGGCAGAUAAAGUCAGACCAGACCGAGGAGUUGGAUUCCAUCCGGAGGGAGCUGAGCAAGAUCAAAGCCCAGGUGGACAGCCUGUUGGAGAGUCUGGAGUCCAUGGAGCAGCAGACAGACCAGCACGUGGGGCAGGUACUCGAGGGGGUUCCCAGGCCACGCUCUCCAUGGGUCCCAGUUAUUCCUGCUCCCGAAGAUACCAGGGCUUUGGGGUUCUUCUGUUCAUGUCCUUCUCUGACUGGAGGUCUCCUUUACCUGCAUUGGACUUCAUUUCUCUUGCCUGUGCCCAUGGCCAGAGGACCUCUAUGACCUCUAGGUUGUCCUGGAUCCCUCCAGAUAUCGGGAGUCAAAGCAGCCGUCUCAGGUUCCCUCUUGUUCUUUGGAGUUCUAGAUUACUGCUAGACUCCUGAUUGAGCCAGUUGGGACCUCCGAACUUUGACUGUUGGCUCUCUAAACAGGAACAAAGGACAGUGAAGGGGACAGGUGUCCUGGAAGUAAGGACUUCUCAAAACACUGAGUCACACAUCCAAGGGCCAGAGGGCCUACCAAGAAGCAGGCAGCUCAGGGC
rnacentral:lncRNA from 1 species